ACCUCCGAGGGAGAUGGAGCGGGCUCUGUUCCUUUGUCCAGUGCUAAUGCUGCUGGGGUUGAGAAGCGGUGCGGGGGGCGCUGCUUUUAAAAAGGAGCCUUGAGAUUCUCGUUUACUGUUCUCGUGUCGUUUUGUUUCAGGUUGCUGUGGGACCUCUGGCGGUAAGGCUGAACCAAACCGGUGAGCGGUUCUGGUAGUAAGGGGACCGCGGAGGUGACGAGCGCUCGGGUGCAGUUGGGGUCUCUUGGGCUGGAGCAGGGGGCAGCCGGGCUGUCGGACCCCGUUACGUUUGCAGCCGAUGUAUCGUCGCUGCCUGGCUCCCAUUGCGUUUUCGGAGGGGGCUGGCGCAGCCCCAGGGUUUUUUAGCGGGUGCUUCAAUUCUUCAAGUUCUCUUCGGUAGGAGCAAGUGAGAAAUGGUGCCGUGUUCCUGCAGCCUCGGUGCUCCUGGGAGUAAGAAGCAACGCGAAGAGCUGCUGAAACGUAGGUUUUCUUCUAUUGUAGGCCGAGCAAGGACUGUGGCAGAGCCUCUCCCGAAGCGGUGAGUGUUUGGGAGUCACUUGGUGAGACCUCUCUCUUUAGGGCUUGUGUAGGAGCAGCAGCCUUCCUCUGCGUCUUUGGGAUCGGCACGGCGCGGCUCCGAGUGGUUUUUCAGAAGGGCCGGCACGGGGCUGCCGCCCGACUGCCUGAGACCGAGCACGACUCCGGGGUGCCCUCGGCCCCCGAGGAAGGUUUUGCGGGUGCCUCCAGCCUCCCGUUCCCAGCGAUGGGAGCGAGCAGGAUGGGGCCGUGUGUUUUCUCUUUUCUCCUCCUUCACGUGUAAUUUCAGGAGCGUGAUUUUUGUUUCCAAUGUGGAGACCCGGUGGGGCAGCUUGCACAAUUGGAAUGCUGUUGUGGAUGGCUCUGCUCUUCUUAGGUAAGACGGACCUGCAAGGUGAUGGAGUUGCUCUUCCAGUGAGAGAAUGGGAAUGUAUUGAGCUCUGCCUAGAGAUGAAUGAAGAAGUUGUGGAGCACUUGCAUGUGAGGCUCCAGAGGCAGGUAAGUGUGGGAACAUCAUUGGGGGGUGUUUGUUGCAGACCAGGAUGAGGAAGUUGAUGAGACCUUCUGCACACAGCUGAAGUUAGCCUCAUCUGUGGGCAUUAGUUCUCAUGGUAGACUUGAACCACCCUGCCAGCUGUGCUCAUUCUGGGAGGUUCCUGUGAUGUGUUGAAGAUAAAAUAAUCUGAUGGAGCCAUUGAGGAGAGGGGUGCUGCUGGAGCUCCCUCUCCCUAUUGUUCAAGGGCUGUUUGAGGACCAUGAACACUGGGGUGGACUUGAGUGUGGCUGUGUUCAGGAUCUUGUGUGGAAGAUGCAAAAUAGUGAAUAGUCUUGAAACAGUAGACUUUGAGGGAGCCAAGUUUGUCCUGUUAAGGGGCUUGCUUGGAGGUAUCCCUUGGGUUUGACCAGAGGAAGGGAUCCUGUGAGCAAUCGUUGAUACUGGAGUGUUGCUUCCUCCAUGCCCAGAUGUGGUGCAUUCUGAAAAGAAAGGAACUGUGUGGGAAUGGCUGGAGACCUGCAGGGGUGGAUGAGGAAGGGAGGUCAAAGCUAGCAGAAGUUUCUCAGUUUUUUCAACAGGGAAAAGGAGAGUAGAGAAUGUGUGGGCCUCUGCUUUACGAGGUAGGUGCCCAGAAUGCCUUUUCUGCUUCAGCAAUCACUGCUGAGACCGCUCAUUGGGAACCCUGGAUUCUGGUGGAACUGGUCAAAGAUCAUUUAGUCAAAAUGAAUGCCAGCAAAUCCCUGAGCUGUAAUGGGAUAUGGCUGUGUGUGUGCUGCAGGAGCUCUCACAUUUGUUCUGAUCUUUCCUUUAGGAAAAUGGCUGAAGACUGGAGGAGAGCUGAUGUCACUGCAGCCUGGAGAAAGGGCAAGAAGGAUGGCCUUAUUUCCUUUCCUGGAAAGGUGAUAUAACAGCUUGUUCUAGAUGUCAUCUCCAAGUGACUGGAAGAGAAGACAUGCCUAAGGAGCAGCCAAGGUCUGAAUGGAGUUAGGUGAGCAGUCCUUCUCUGCUGGAGUUUGGGGUCCUGGCAGUAGCUGCUGUGUUGGCUUUUGGUGCUUCUGAGGGGGAGUUGGAAAUUCCUAUUGCCCUUGGAAAACUAUUAAAAGAUAGUGCUGGAAAAUGUAGAAGCCAUCCAAACACUCUGGUGCUGUCGGAAAUGUGUCCCCAUGCAGCUCUCCAAUGGGAAGUGUGUCAUUGCUUCCAGGCUUUUGCAGCGAUUGGUACCUACCUGUCUGCUUAACAGGCAGAAGCCCUAAUAUUAAGCAUCUCAUUAGGAGAGCAGUAAAUGGUCCCAUCACUGCUUCCAAAAAUGUUGAGAUGAAGCAGCUUUUCCACUUGUGGAAGACUCAAGAUCCCUCAAAAACAUCACUAGAGUGUUCCUUCAGGUCAGCUAUGCCCCUAGCACUUAAGUUUCUUAUCUGGAAUCCCAGCAAAAUGGACUCGAGUACCUGCCUGAAGAAGAUUGAUUUUUGGGAGGCUCGUUUUCUUUGUUAGCAGCAUUCAGUGUCUGAAGAGGCAUUGCACAACUUAAGAGUACAGUAGAACAAAUGCUCUCCCUUGGCACGUGGUCGCGACUCCUUUACACACCAGUUCACCUCUUGCAAAGUCUCAUUGAUUACUCAAGAAAUGGAGACAGAGCAGAUCCUUCCAUUUCCCCACUCCAUGAGGGGAUACAAUACAUUUAAGAUGCCUCAAGACACCUGUGAAAACCCCCUGUUAAGUAAUGAGGCGCAUCUAGGAUAGUUCUGCAUUUUGGCCUCAAAUCACAGUUUUGCAGGAACCUUCUCUGUUUCUAUGAGCAAUUCGCUGGAGUAAAUUCUGUAAAUGUGCCUUUUUACAUCAUCCUCGCAACGGAGAUACUGAAAGGACUUCCAAAAUGCAUCUCCAACUUUGACAUGCUGCAUAAAGGGAUACUGCAUGCUGACGCUUUUGCUGACGGUGGAAUCACAGCUACUUCAGCAAUCAAAAUAUGCUUCAUGAAAUGCUAAGGCUUGGAUGACCUUGCUAAGGCUGAACAAGAGUACAAAACCUGUGAAUUAAAUGGAUGGAAUGAAACUACAGCCAGUGCAACUUACAGGGCCAAGAGUUGUGACCUGACCUCUUUCAUCUUUUACACAAAACAAGUCUAUCUUCAGCUUGCUGCUGACAAGAACAGAACAAUCACCUGGCUGAUUUCAUACAACCUCACAACACUACCAUGAACUGUAUGAGAGUGUCAUAAUUCAUGCAAGAACAAUAUUCCCCCCCGAGCUUUACAACCAGUCCAGAUAACACCAA